rnacentral:lncRNA from 1 species
AAUUACCGAGUAAUGCAAGUUGAAUUUUAUGAAGAUGAGUUGUGAAAUGCAAACCACACAAUACAUGUAUAUAUACAUAAUAUCUGUGUUUCAUUAUUGGUCUUCAAAGAAAAAGAAAAUCUGUGUUUCAUUAUUGAAUCAACACCUUCCCAAACAGCAUGUAAGUUAUAUUGAGUGUAUAUUCCCCUGAAGAUAUAUUACUUGCUCUCGAAACCAACCAGUAGCUACUUACUGCUUAGUACUACUUCAUCCACUGCCAAUCAUGUUCAAGUAAGUUUGCUCUAUCUAUUUUCAAUAAACACACUUUUUUUAGCAAUUGUUAUCUUCACAAUUUGAUUAACGUUCAACGGAAUUAUUGAUGUAUAUGUUGAACGGAUUUGAUGAAUGUUCAUCAAAUCUGUUGGACAUGGCGUGAAUAAAUGCUGAUUUUUUGGGAAUUGUGGGAUUCGACUCUGAUAUGUUCAACAAAAAAUUUGUUGAACAUGACGUGAAUAAUGGUGAUCGUUAGAUUAGAUAAAAUAAUGACUGAAAUUUGGUCUAUGUUCUUUGAAUACUUAGUGGUUUUCAUUAAACUCUUCCCUAUAUAUGUAUAGAGGAUAGGAUUAACAUAGAAACCCCUCUUAAGAAUAAAACUAAGAACUAUUUUACAGCGUUAAUUGAUAGGAUCAAAAUUGAUGGCCAAGAUUAAUUCUUUUUUUCACGGGGAUUGAUGAUUAGUGACCUAAUUAUGAGAAAGGGUAAAAAAGUGAAAUUGUAUUUUACAGUAUUCAUUCGCUCCGUAAAAUUGCCACUUCCAUCAAAAAGUUUAAUUCUUUAAUUCUUCUAGGAUUUUCUCGAAAAAUCAAUUUCAAUGAACAAGAAAGAUUGGAGGUUUUAAGUGUUGACUACUAGAUUUUUUAAUUUUAUUAAUUAGUAUAUUUCUAAGUGUUGACUACUAGAUUUUUGUUUAAGAAAUCAUAUGUGAAAAUAUUUUAUUUUCUUAUUUUGUUAAAUUUGUUUUAAAAAUUAAAACACUUGAGACGAAAUGUAACUCUUAUAUACUCGUUAACUCAAUAUACAUAGUAUACAUUUAUCGGUGCAACUUCAAUAUAAGUUGUGACCCAUGUUAUGAAUACUGAAUAUCUAUCGGUUGAGAUAGAGACUGCUAUUUCUCUCGUAAUUGUUGUCCACAACAUGUGGUAUGCAUAAGUUCUCUUCUAGUCUGUAAAUGGAUAUAUACUCCUGCCAAUUAAAUCUAGUUUUUUUUUUUUUUUGGUCUAUCAAAAUUGUUUGAUCAUAUUUAUGUGAAACACAUCAAAAUCAUAUAUUUUGGUGUGAUUCUAUCUUUACAGCACAACGCAAGCCUGCUGCGCUAGCUUGAAUGAAAAACUGACGAAACUGACGCGGGGGCAGAAUCAGAAUGCACAAUCUACAGAGUUCA